rnacentral:rRNA from 1 species
AACGAACGCUGGCGGCAGGCCUAACACAUGCAAGUCGAGCGAGGUAGCAAUACCUAGCGGCGGACGGGUGAGUAACGCGUGGGAACGUGCCCUUUGCUACGGAAUAGCCCUGGGAAACUGGGAGUAAUACCGUAUGUGCCCUUCGGGGGAAAGAUUUAUCGGCAAAGGAUCGGCCCGCGUUGGAUUAGGUAGUUGGUGGGGUAAUGGCCUACCAAGCCGACGAUCCAUAGCUGGUUUGAGAGGAUGAUCAGCCACACUGGGACUGAGACACGGCCCAGACUCCUACGGGAGGCAGCAGUGGGGAAUCUUAGACAAUGGGCGCAAGCCUGAUCUAGCCAUGCCGCGUGAGCGAUGAAGGCCUUAGGGUUGUAAAGCUCUUUCGUGGGGGAAGAUAAUGACUGUACCCCAAGAAGAAGCCCCGGCUAACUCCGUGCCAGCCGCCGCCGUAA